rnacentral:lncRNA from 1 species
CAGGGGCCAGGGGGGUCUGGUUUUAUAGUCCCUUCAAGUGAAUCUGGGCCGUCGGAUCAAACCGACAUUGAUCGUGUGGUUUUCCUUGAAGUAUUAGGUCGGUGGAGCAUGAUCCCCGAACUUCACCCUGAUUGGUCCAGGGGGGAGGGCGGGCGCCCAGUGCCCGGUUCCGUUACGUCUCCCGUUCGGUCCCGUGGCUUCUGGAGUCUUCUAGAUGAUAGAAAAUUGCGCGGCACGUUAAUAUCUCUAUGUAAACCCGACGUGUGGGCCUUUCUUCCGUAUUUCCUGAUAACCCCCUGCAGAAAUAGACAAACACCAAAACUCGUGGAAUUCUGUCAGAUAAAACCCUAAGUCUAGGUGUUGGUUGCAUUUAGAUCCUUUUCCAUGAUUAGUUGAUGGUUAAAUGUGAG